UGUAUGAUGGCAACUGAACUAGUCCCCACCAGGCUUCAGCCUGACCGAGAUGCGUGUGUUCUGCUUGCUCAGGCGAUAUGGGGCUUGUGUUGCAUACCGCUCAUCCCCCUGCUGGCCAGUCCGGUCCCAAACCUGCCCCUGUACUACGCUGGGUACAAGGUAUGACGAACACCCCAUAAACAAAUACCAGCACCCGUAUAACACCUGGUCCGGCAUUUGCUCCCAAUGCUGCUUUUGCAAGCUCAGGACCUCAUAACUAUCUCAAAGUCUUGCUUGUUAGGCAGGCAAAUGAGGCCAAAGCUGAUUGCAAAAAAAUAAGGGAAAUAACUACGCACCUACAGCCUUGUGCUCACUUCAGCCCUAUGAGCAGGGAACAGACAUGAAGAGAUUCUUAGCGGCUUGGCAGGCGUUGAGACGAUGCAGGCACUUGCGCGCAGGUGUACUCAGCGCGCACAGCGCUGGUGGGCUGCAAUGCGCUGACUAACAUGUGGAGCCACCUGGACACAGAGCAGCUGACAAAGCUGCGCGAGAAGCUGCGCGCGCUGCAGGAAAGCGGCGUUGUCUUCCCCGAGGACGCCUGGACCGGCAAGCUGCUAAGGCCCCACCCCAGG
rnacentral:lncRNA from 1 species